rnacentral:rRNA from 1 species
AAUGAACGCUGGCGGCAUGCCUUACACAUGCAAGUCGAACGGCAGCAUGACCUAGCUUGCUAGGUUGAUGGCGAGUGGCGAACGGGUGAGUAAUGCAUCGGAACGUGCCUUUUAGUGGGGGAUAACGUAGCGAAAGCUACGCUAAUACCGCAUAUUCUCUGAGGAGGAAAGCAGGGGGCCUUCGGGCCUUGCGCUAGAAGAGCGGCCGAUGUCGGAUUAGCUAGUUGGUGAGGUAAAGGCUCACCAAGGCAACGAUCCGUAGCGGGUCUGAGAGGAUGAUCGGCCACACUGGGACUGAGACACGGCCCAGACUCCUACGGGAGGCAGCAGUGGGGAAUUUUGGACAAUGGGCGCAAGCCUGAUCCAGCCAUGCCGCGUGAGUGAAGAAGGCCUUCGGGUUGUAAAGCUCUUUCGGCUGGGAAGAAAUCGCACUCUCUAAUACAGGGUGUGGAUGACGGUACCAGCAGAAGAAGCACCGGCUAACUACGUG